GAGUUUGAUCUUGGCUCAGAUUGAACGCUGGCGGCAUGCCUUACACAUGCAAGUCGAACGGCAGCAUGAUCUAGCUUGCUAGAUUGAUGGCGAGUGGCGAACGGGUGAGUAAUACAUCGGAACGUGCCCUGUAGUGGGGGAUAACUAGUCGAAAGAUUAGCUAAUACCGCAUACGACCUGAGGGUGAAAGUGGGGGACCGCAAGGCCUCAUGCUAUAGGAGCGGCCGAUGUCUGAUUAGCUAGUUGGUGGGGUAAAGGCCCACCAAGGCGACGAUCAGUAGCUGGUCUGAGAGGACGAUCAGCCACACUGGGACUGAGACACGGCCCAGACUCCUACGGGAGGCAGCAGUGGGGAAUUUUGGACAAUGGGCGAAAGCCUGAUCCAGCAAUGCCGCGUGUGUGAAGGAGGCCUCGGUGUAAGU
rnacentral:rRNA from 1 species